GAUGAACGCUGGCGGCGUGCCUAAUACAUGCAAGUCGAGCGAACAGACGCGGAGCUUGCUCCUCUGACGUUAGCGGCGGACGGGUGAGUAACACGUGGCUAACCUACCUAUAAGACUGGGAUAACUUCGGUAAACCGGAGCUAAUACCGGAUAAUAUAUUUAACCGCAUGGUUCAAUAGUGAAAGACGGUUUUGCUGUCACUUAUAGAUGGAUCCGCGCCGCAUUAGCUAGUUGUUAAGGUAACGGCUUACCAAGGCAACGAUGCGUAGCCGACCUGAGAGGAGGAUCAGCAACACUGGAACUGAGACACGGUCCAGACUCCUACGGGAGGCAGCAGUAGGGAAACUUCCGCAAUGGGCGAAAGCCUGACGGAGAAAAGCCGCGUGAGUGAUGAAGGUCUUCGGAUCGUAAAACUCUGUUAUUAGGGAAGAACAAAUGUGUAAGUAACUAUGAACGUCUUGACGGUACCUAAUCAGAAAGCCACGGCUAACUACGUG
rnacentral:rRNA from 1 species